GAUGAAGAACGCAGCGAAAUGCGAUACGUAAUGUGAAUUGCAGAAUUCAGUGAAUCAUCGAAUCUUUGAACGCAUAUUGCGCUCUUUGGUAUUCCGAAGAGCAUGCUUGUUUGAGUAUCAGUAAACACCUCAAAGACUUCAAUUUGUUUUGAAUGGCUUUGGACUUGAGCAAUCCCAACACCAGUCUUUACGAUCGGUGGAGGGUUGCUUGAAAUGCAGGUGCAGCUGGACAUUCUCCUGAGCUAAAAGCAUAUUUAUUUGGUCCCGUCAAACGGAUUAUUACUUUUGCUGCAGCUAACAUAAAGGGAGUUUGACCGUAUUGGCUGACUGAUGCAGGAUUUCACAAGGGUCGGCAACGAUUCUUGUAAAACUCGAUCUCAAAUCAAGUAAGACUACCCGCUGAACUUAAGCAUAUCAAUAAGCGGAGGA
rnacentral:misc_RNA from 1 species